AAUCAACGCUGGCGGCGUGCCUCAGACAUGCAAGUCGAACGCGAAAGGUUCCUUCGGGAACCGAGUAGAGUGGCGCACGGGUGAGUAACACGUAGGUAAUUUGCCUUUGGGUGGGGAAUAACAGCCGGAAACGGCUGCUAAUACCGCAUAAUGCAGCGGCUCGACAUCGAGACAGUUGUUAAAGCGGGGGAUCGCAAGACCUCGCGCCUAAAGAGAAGCCUGCGGCAGAUUAGCUAGUUGGUAGGGUAAUGGCCUACCAAGGCGACGAUCUGUAACCGGCCUGAGAGGGCGGUCGGUCACACUGACACUGACAUACGGGUCAGACUCCUACGGGAGGCAGCAGUCGGGAAUUUUGGGCAAUGGGCGAAAGCCUGACCCAGCAACGCCGCGUGAAGGAU
rnacentral:rRNA from 1 species